UACGUAGGGUGCAAGCGUUGUCCGGAAUUAUUGGGCGUAAAGGGCUCGUAGGCGGUUUGUCGCGUCGGGAGUGAAAUCCACUGGCUUAACUGGUGGCUUGCUUUCGAUACGGGCAGACUAGAGUCCGGAAGAGGAGAGUGGAAUUCCUGGUGUAGCGGUGAAAUGCGCAGAUAUCAGGAGGAACACCAAUGGCGAAAGGCAGCUCGCUGGGGACGGUACUGACGCUGGAGACGCGAAAGCGUGGGGGAGCAAACAGG
rnacentral:rRNA from 1 species